rnacentral:rRNA from 1 species
GACGAACGCUGGCGGCGUGCUUAACACAUGCAAGUCGAACGGUGAAAGAGAGCUUGCUCUCUGGAUCAGUGGCGAACGGGUGAGUAACACGUGAGAAACCUGCCCCGAAGACCGGGAUAACCCUCCGAAAGGAGAGCUAAUACCGGAUACCCCCACCGAACCGCAUGGUUUGGUGAGGAAAUGGAUUCCGCUUCGGGAGGGUCUCGCGGCCUAUCAGCUAGUUGGUGGGGUAACGGCCCACCAAGGCAUUGACGGGUAGCUGGUCUGAGAGGACGAUCAGCCACACUGGGACUGAGACACGGCCCAGACUCCUACGGGAGGCAGCAGUAGGGAAUCUUGCGCAAUGGGCGAAAGCCUGACGCAGCAACGCCGCGUGGGGGAUGAAGGCUCUCGGGUUGUAAACCCCUUUCAGUGGGGACGAAUCAAGACGGUACCCACAGAAGAAGCCCCGGCUAACUACGUGC